AAGUCGUAACAAGGUCUCCGUUGGUGAACCAGCGGAGGGAUCAUUACAGAGUCCUAAAAAAUCUCCCAAACCCAUGUGAAUUUACCUCUUGUUGCCUCGGCAGAGCCUACCCUGUAGGCCUGCCGGCGGACUAUUAAACUCUUGUUAUUUAUGGAUAUCUGAGCGUCUUAUUUUAAUAAGUCAAAA
rnacentral:misc_RNA from 1 species